ensembl:lncRNA
AAAACGCACACAUAAGAAAAGCCGACCCACUUCAGUACUGGGAAGAACAUCCUAAUUUGUUUCCCUCUAUGGCUGCUGUUGCGAUCCCAGUGUGCCCCCUGUAGCUCUGUGGACAGUUUUGGAUUUGUUUACAUCUCACCCAACCGCUCACGGCAGAUGGCUGCACCCCUCUAAGCCUGGUUCUGCCGGAGGUUUCUUCCUGUUAAAAGGGAGUUUUUCUGAACACACUCUACCACCAACAAGGACAGCUCACCAGUGGGAACUGAUAGAUAAGACUGCUGAUGUGCUCUCAUCCAUUGAAGAGCUGACCAGAAACGUGAACAGAAAGACUGCACCUGAUGGGAUCCCUGCCAUAACGGAUGUGUUCUGUCCAGUGAAGGCAGUGGAGAAGCCCUACACUGAUCUUGAAACUGUGCCACGCUAGUAGAGACCGGCUACAAGGA